rnacentral:rRNA from 1 species
AUGUGUUCUGGAUGCAUGCACGAGUUUGACAUGGACAAGCCGCCGUUGCUGCAGGAGGUGGAGGAUUUCUUCAGUGGCCACAAAAUCGAGGACUUUACCUUUAGUAGGGGCAGGCUGGUAGGACAGGAGGAACAUCAACAAGCGAUGGGAUGA